AUGUGCAUCCCAAAGGAUAAAGGUAGUAUGGGAUUUCAAGGCAUGCAUUCAUUUAACUUUGCCAUGCUAGCUUGACAAUGUUGGAGAUUAAUUGAAAAUUAUGAUUCUUUAUGUGCUAAAGUUCUUCGAACUCGAUGAUAUCCUUCAGGUGAUAUUUUGAAUAACACACUAAACAAGGGGUCCUUGUUUGUUUGGUAGAGUAUAUUUUCAGGAAUUCAGACAUUCAAAAAGGGGUGCAUAUGGCAAGUUGGGAAUGGUGUGAAAAUCAACUUGUGGGAUGACUGUUGGAUCCCAAAUAGCCCCUUAAGGAAAAUCAAUAUUGUUCGAGGUAAUUGCAUUCAAACAUAUGUAAAUGAACUUAUCGAUCCCAUUACAGGUGAGUGGGACGAACAGUUAAUUUGUGACAAUUUUUGGCAUGUUGAUGCGGAGUGUAUCAUGCACAUACCAAUUGUUGAGCAUGAGGCCGAUGAUAACAUAGCGUGGCAUUUUACUAAAAAGUGGUACUUUCACAGUAGGCUAUCGGUGUCAAAAUCGGCGGAUCUCGGGUAG
rnacentral:rRNA from 1 species